GUCUACUCUCUUUGCAUAAUUUCCUGAACCCUGCCCUGUUCCACCUGCUCACUAAUGUUAAGCUUAUUUAUGAAUAAUUUAUACGCAGCCCACUCUGCAAAUGUACCCUGGCAAGGAUACUUUUGGAGGAGCUAUGGGAACAAGACACUCAUCAUGUAUGUUCCCCUCGAGUCUGUAAGACCCGGAGUCCAAAUACUUCAUCAGCCCUUCCCGACCCUUCUCUGAAACACCAACAUGCAAAAGCACAAAUGCCUGGUCCUCGCACCAGCACCCCCACCCUGGGCUGCUGGAAAUUCAAGCACUCUUUUGGGGGGAUGGCAGAGAACGAGCUCCAAAAGCAAGUCAGCCUCAGACAAGCGGAUGUUUCUUUGCAGAGCCCUGAGGGCAGCUCGGUGUUUUGGGACACAGCACGUACCCGCUGCCUUGACCCCUCCACCCCACUUGGGGCAAGAGGAGUUUGCUUGCUCCGGCAGCACUCACAGGAGAAGGACUCAGCUUCAAGGAACACAAAAUCUGACCUGAAAUGUGACCUGACGAGCCUGCAAUGUCGCUGCAGAGUUCCAGCUGUGCUGUGCCUUGCAGGGACAUGCAGAGUCCCCGCACAGGCUGCGUCCUGAGCACGGGACCCCUUAUCUCCGCUGCUUCCCGCUGGAUAUCGGCGCCAGGGGGCUGCUGAUGGAGACUCCGAGUGAUGGACACUGCCUGCACUACUCGGUCACUCGGUGCUUUCCCUGUAGGUCCCACUGGCCUCGCUGACCCUGGGGAGCCCCACGGCUCUGGGAUGGGGUGACGGGUGUCCUGCCCACAGGGCAGAGCAGCCAUGGGGCCCAGAGUGGAUCAGUGCACACCAGUGCACACCAGUAUAGCCCGAGCCCUCGUCCCCCCAGCUCCCAGGUGGGAUUUUUGCACUCUUGUGCUCCCUCUGCUGGUCCUCAGCCCAGCACCGCUCCGGCACGGCGCUGGCACUGCUCCGGUGACACCAAACCCUUGGGCCACCCCUGUUCUCCAGGGCCAGCAAAACCCCAAAACAUGUCUCAGAGCCAGCCUGCAGUAAAGGGGAGGUCCCUGGUGCCAGCUGGGCAGUGGGGUGCUGGUGGGCAGAGCAUCACAGGGUCCAGACAGGAUCCACACAUCCUGGGAAACGGCGUAAAAACCUUCCCUCAAAAUAGAAGCUUUAACAAAUGCUAUUGGGAGUGAUACCAUGACACAUGGUUAUGAAGAAGAUUACACAAACCAGACUGGUACCGCACGGAUCACUUUAUUAAAGUCACACAUGGGCAUGGAGAGAACAUUGUGGAUUUGUCAACCCAUUCUUUACAAACACAGUGUAUGGCUUUUCGCACCAAUACCUCCACAGCUUGCACUGUUUGUGUUACCUGUGCAACAGCCACCACCAUCAGAGGUGACCUGCUUUGCUCUGGCAUUGCAGGGGUACAGCUGGCCACCAACAUGCCACCAACAGAGCAGGAGGACACCAGCACAGAGCAAAGGCUGCAGCUUGGCUCAGCAGCCACCGGCCACUAUCCUGCCAAAGGACACAGGGAAGCACUGAAUCAGACUAGGCCAUCGCAGUGCAAGGUCUGGUUUGCAGGCUGUGCUCCUGUUUGCAUGCAGUUCUCCUGCAUUUUUCAUCUUGGCAAAACUUGCCAGCUUUAUUAGAAAGCGGGUUGUUGCUUCAAGGCUGCUUUCUAGCAGUUAUUGCCAACUAGGGAGAGAGGUGCGGGAGCUACACUCUGCACGGCGUAAAUGACAACUGCCAAGACACCUUCUCUAAGGCCUCGUAAAAGCCUGGUUAUGCCUCAGGCUGCCUCAUCUCAGCCAGACAUCUUGGAGGGUGACCUGGCACAGCAGCCCUCCUGCUCAAAGCCUCGUGUCCCUGUCCCCAUCCCUGUCCAUGCAGCGAUGUCCAGCUGCCGCACUCACUGCCAUGGUUCAGUUGUGCUCCUGGUGUUCCUGGGACUUGGAAAGGAACCACUGCUUAGCAAAGGAAGUGAAAUAUCUGCCUCAAGCGAGCUGAAGCCCUUGCUGUGCCCCAGGAGCAGCCCAGCACAAUGAGGAGCUUCAAGGCAAGGGGAGAAGGAAGAGGAUGUAAAUUAAACAACAACAACAACAAAAUAAUGCUGUUAUCCUUUCCGCACAGCCUCCUCCUUCCCAGCACCCCAGGAAGCCACAGUGACCCACUGUGCAUUACCAACCGCAGAGGCUGUGCCGGGCACACGCUGCACGCUGGCCUGUGCCACCACCACCCCAAAAUCUGGGCAGCUCCACGCAGGGUCCAAGUCCAGCCUUCGCUGGGGGACACGGGCAGGUCAGCAGCUCCUGACGGCGCACACUGGUGUUCAGGGUCUGCAGCCUCAGCAUUUCAGAACUGCUUUCCAGAGCGAACAAUAAUCCUUUAAAACAAGUGUGGGGUUCCCUGAAAGUGGCUGAAUUCAAUGGCUGAGCCCUGCAACAAAGCCUCUUCCUGAGCGCGGUGGCUCCCUGCCCGUCGUCCUCCCCGGGGGACGGCAGAGGCGGCAGAGAGGAGGUGAGCUCUGGCUCGAGUUUGUAAACUGCGGUUGCUGGAGAAAAGAAAACCUGCCCAGAAGUUUCGGUAGGUGCCGAUGCCUUCCUCUGAGGUGGUUGGAACCCAGAGGUGACCAGCACCAUGAGCUGGUGCUUUUCACCAGCCCCAAGGCACCCAUCUUGCUACAGGGCACCCCAUCAAAGUCCCCUUGGGGGCAGCUGCCGGUGCUUCUGCCAACAACAGCUCCAAGUGCUGGGUGAUGCCCCACAGACAUUUCUUCUUGUGCAGAGCUCACUGUUGGUUUCUGCACAUCGUGGUGCUGUUCCCAUCUAAGCACCUUCCCACCCCCCAAACUCCUCCUAGGUGUUCUGCUCUGCCUCGGCAGCACUGGCAGGAGAUGUCAGUGCAGACACCCACCCAUGAUGCCCGAGCAGUGCUGCUAAAAGGAACCGGCUGCUUCUACAUUUUGUGAAUUUGUUUUUGCCUGUGAGGAUGUGAAACUCCACUCCAUAGUGACCACGGCAGGGCCAUAGCAGGCCGGGCAGGCACAGCCGGUGACCCACACCAUGGGGCAUUCUCCAAGUGAAGCCUCAUCAUCGACCCUUUCGAUUUGCACAACUCACUAGGGAAAAUGUUUUCCAGAGAGAAAACUUUCAGCUUUCAAAACUGAUUCCUCUGCAUUCUGUAGCAUUUUUGCAGAUGCAGAUAAAUGGUUAAAAACAUGUAGUAGUCUCUCGUGUUAACUUUCCUCAGUAUCAUCGACAGCUGCUUGCCUUUCAGCGCACGAAACCGCAAAGUUGAAGUCAGUGAAACUGUAGAAGAUCCAGGGCUCGGAUGGUGAAACCUUCCCAGCCAGAGGCUGAUAAAAUGAAACAGUAAAAAGUUUUUCCAUGGUUGAGAAUAGCCCUGUUAUCUCUCAGGGAGGCAGCAAACCUUCCUCUCUGAUGAGCAGGUAAGCCGGCAGUGCCAGGCCAGGCAGUCCUGGCACGCAUGUGCUCAAGGAGAAUGCUACAAUAUAUUGCCAUAUACCGAGAGACACAAAUAAACUCCAUUAAUGGUGUUAAUUCUUCAGUGAAA